CCUACGGGAGGCAGCAGUGGGGAAUAUUGCACAAUGGGCGCAAGCCUGAUGCAGCCAUGCCGCGUGUGUGAAGAAGGCCUUCGGGUUGUAAAGCACUUUCAGCGGGGAGGAAGGUGUUGAGGUUAAUAACCUCAGCAAUUGACGUUACCCGCAGAAGAAGCACCGGCUAACCCCGUGCCAGCAGCCGCGGUAAUACGGAGGGUGCAAGCGUUAAUCGGAAUUACUGGGCGUAAAACGCACGCAGGAGGUCUGUCAAGUCGGAUGUGAAAUCCCCGGGCUCAACCUGGGAACUGCAUUCGAAACUGGCAGGCUAGAGUCUUGUAGAGGGGGGUAGAAUUCCAGGUGUAGCGGUGAAAUGCGUAGAGAUCUGGAGGAAUACCGGUGGCGAAGGCGGCCCCCUGGACAAAGACUGACGCUCAGGUGCGAAAGCGUGGGGAGCAAACAGGAUUAGAUACCCGGGUAGUC
rnacentral:rRNA from 1 species